rnacentral:rRNA from 1 species
CACGUAGGGCGCGAGCGUUGUCCGGAAUUAUUGGGCGUAAAGGGUGCGUAGGCGGCAUGAUAAGUUAUUGGCGGCAAAUCGAGGCUCAACCUCGUGGAAACUGAUAAUACUGUUUUGCUUGAGUACAGAAGAGGUUAACGGAACUCCAUGUGGAGCGGUAAAAUGUGUAGAUAUAUGGAAGAACAUCAAUAACGGCGAAGGCAGUUAACUAUUCUGUUACUGACGUUGAGGCACGAAAGCGUGGGGAGCAAAAAGG